GAUGAAGAACGCAGUGAAAUGCGAUACUUGGUGUGAAUUGCAGAAUCCCGUGAACCAUCGAGUCUUUGAACGCAAGUUGCGCCCGAAGCCAUUAGGCCGAGGGCACGCCUGCCUGGGUGUCACACGUCGUUGCCCCCCCAUCUACUCCUUCGGGAUUGCGGGGGGCGGAUGAUGGCCUCCCGUGCGCCUCGUCGCGCGGUUGGCAUAAAUGCCAAGUCCUCGGCGACGCACGCCACGACAAUCGGUGGUUGCGAAACCUCGGUUGCCCGUCGUGUGCGGUCGUCGCGCAUCGAGGGCUCGAAAAAAUUGCUGGGCUCCGGCUCGGCUUUCAACGCGACCCCAGGUCAGGCGGGGUUACCCGCUGAAUUUAAGCAUAUCAAUAAGCGGAGGA
rnacentral:misc_RNA from 1 species